CCAGGAUGCAACAUACACGAUAACAAGAACUUUAUUUCUGUUCUACUACCUACAUAGCUACGAAUUAGGUCACUGUGACGAAUAGGCAGUUUCCAAAACGGCCUACAUUGUUUUUGCUGACGAAAAAGGUGAGAUGUUAGGAGUAUUCUAAAUUUAUUUUGAAAAAAAAUUCAAGUAUUUAGUUUGAUGUUAACGGAUUAUAUCAACUGCUUUAAAUACUAUUCAAGAAAAACUAGUCUGUGUAUUGCCAUGUUUACUUAAGAAAUAAGGUAUCAUUUUAACAUAUCUAUCGGGAUACCAACCCGUAUUUAUAUCCCGAUAGAUAUUUUAAAAUGAUACCUUAUCACUUAUAUUUACAUUUUGGACCGGUAACCAUUGCUGAAUUGUGUUAACAAUACGUUUCCAUAUAUUUCACGCUGUUGACCUACAUAACGCUUUGUCCAAAAUGACGAAAACACAAAACAAAGUUCCAUCAAAUAAAGAACUGUUUCAAUUAUUAAGACGCUGAAAAGCAAGUAUAUCAACAAAGACAUAUACAUUACCUCAGGAGUAUAUAAUUGAAAACUCUUCCUUAUGUCUAAAUUGGUAAUUUUGGGAAAACUGGGGGAAAACGUACUGCGAAAGGGGGAUGCGCAACGUUACAGUUUUGAUGCGCCCUUUCACUUUUGAAAAGUGGAAGACGCAGUUUUUGAAGACCGACCUUGAAAGAUAUUCUGUGGACAUUACUGGAUUAACAGAAGAUUGAGGUGGAGGAACAUGAAGAACAGGGCGGCAGUUGUCAGGUGUAGCCAAAUCAUUUAUAUACAGGACAGAGGACGCAUAUGAAUCUCCGGAAAGAACUGACAUCGCAGAGAAUGUGAAAGCUCGAAGGUUUUCAACGACGCUUCGCUUCGAUGUCCCGACAUAAACAUGAAAUGGCGUACGUGGAAACCAACAACACCUCAUGGCUGCUGUGGCACGGAGGCAGUGCGGUGUGUAGGUCGUAAUGCACUUUGACGACUUACAAAUAUCGGCCAUAAAUCCUGUGAAUGACCUUUCUGCUAAAGCCUAAUGUCUGUGUCUAGCAGUAGGUACAAUUCUGCAUCACCAAUGACCAGGGUGUAGCAGACGAAAUUUUUAACAUACAGUUUUACAGAAAUGUUUUUAUUAUUGAUGAAAGUCCACAGCUUGGAAUACAAAUAAAAUCAUAAAUACAC